UGUGAGCGCAGGGGAUUCCAUCGCUUCACUGCCCGGGCACCCGCCGUCACCGUCACUAAUUUCCGGAACCACCGGGAGGUAGAUCGGCGUGGUUGCGUAAACGACGUCGUACUCGCAUCAACCAGGCAAUCGUCAAAGUCAACUAAGUAAAGGGGUUUAGUAUAUCUCUGGUAUUCUUGAAGAUAAAGUGAAGAAGAAGAAGUGCUCAAAUGGCAGAGUUUUGAAGGAGAAGAAUGUCUGUGUGGAGAAAGAACAUCGACUGAGAUGUUGUUACUCAAGCCUCAAGGAGUUGCUCUUGGCAUGUCCUCUAUUAAAGUUGAAAAGCAGUGGCAGAUGCACUUGAAACAGGACUCCAAAUGAUGAAAGGCAAAGGAAACGAAAUGUUAGCAGAAUUGACGCUUUCAGUUCUCUCUUCAUCUACACGGGCCCUCGAUUUUUUAGAUUGCAAAUUUUGAAGACGCAAAAGAACCAGGUUGCGAUAUGAAUUUGCAAGAGGAUGGGAUUAUGGGGUUUCCUUUCGAAGAGGAUGGGAUUAUGGGGUUUCCUUUCGAAGAAGGAAACGGAGGAGACCGGAGAGGAAAUGAGGAUGACUUCUGGUUGUGGUAAACUAAACUAGAGUUUACUCUUGUUAUGCUACUACUUACUAGUACAUAUGUAGAUGAAACUUUUGUUAUAUUAUGAAAUUGAUUUUUUGUCAUCAAUGCACUGCAGUGUCUACAUGUUUGCGACAGUUAUUAAAGAAUUGCUCAUAGAUUA
rnacentral:lncRNA from 1 species